UCCCCCCUACAGCCCAGGUCGGGGUCUUGGGGUCUCCCCUGCUCCCCCCUACAGCCCAUAUUGGGGUCUUGGGGUCUCCCCUGCUCCCCCCUACAGCCCAUAUUGGGGUCUUGGGGUCUCCCCUGCUCCCCCCUACAGCCCAAAUCAGGGUCUUGGGGUCUCCCUGGCUCCCCUCUACAGCCCAAAUCAGGGUCUUGGGGUCUCCCUGUCUCCCCCCUACAACCCAGGUCGGGGUCUUGGGGUCUCCCUGGCUCCCCCUAAGCCCAAAUCAGGGUCUUGGGGUCUCCCCGGCUUCCCCCUACAGCCCAAAUCAGGGGGUUGAGGGUGUUUUCCCUAAAAUCUGCACCCCUCUCAUCCCAUCCCAUCUCAGGGAUCCGGCUGAGCAGGGACGUGUCCGCCUCGCCGGCAGCUGCCCAGUCCCCCGGUGGAUAUGGGAUUUUGGGGAGGUCGAGCAGCUGGUGCUACAGAGCAGGGCUGAAAACCCCUCCGUGAUCCCAAAAGCAGGGGUGAAGCUCAGCGGGAUGGGUUCCCCCCGAUGCUCCCCAAUCCCUCUGCUCCCAUGGCACGGGCAAUCGGGGACGUGCUUGGGGUCCCCGGGGAUGCACGCGGAGCAUCCUAAAAUCUGGGGUUUGUACAAAAAUCACGGGUUUGUACAAACCCUACACCCGGUGGGGGCUGCGAGCUGCCCCGUCCUUGUCCCAAAACCUCCCCUUCGUGCUCUUUGCCCCCUAAACCCGCUCCGUGGGGGCUGCAGGAGGAACGACCUGAAAAAUAAACCCACGGGAGGUGUGGGGUUGUUUUCCUGAGCAGGAAAACAGCCCCGAGCUACGUGUUUUCCCCUUCUCACAUCACCUCCCCAACCUGCUUUGCCUAAUCCCUUCCCCGGCGCGGAUUUGUGGUGUUUCAUGCAAACGGGUUUGCAAAUGCUUCCUGUGCACGGGGAGGGCUGGCGUGCCCAGAGCAUCUCUGCAAAAGGGGCUUCUCCCACCCCACACGGGGAAAAAGGGUGUGGGGAGAAAGGGGUGAUCCUGGCCACGCCGAACCUGUGGGAUCCCUUCGUGUCCCUAAUUCUGAGCCUGAGAACACCGGGGUGCACAUGGGGCGAGCACCCAGCCGUGCCCCCCAAAACCCAAACCNNNNNNNNNNNNNNNNNNNNNNNNNNNNNNNNNNNNNNNNNNNNNNNNN
rnacentral:lncRNA from 1 species